AAUCUCAACACAGCAGUGUCCCUGGAAGUCCCACUCUAAGCCCCACCCAAAGUGCAGGGCACAGACAGGGAUGCUUCAGGGAUGACCCCCUCCAAGCGCUGCAUGGUGCCUCCUUAAGGCUGGCUAUGUCCCAUGGUCCUUCUCAGCCCAGGCCACUCUAUGAUUCUGUGAUCACAAGACUGGCUUGGAUUCACCCUAAAACUCCCCAGCACAGAGCACAUAAGAACUGCUGUGGCACUGUGGAAUGAAGGGUGAAGAACAAGAUGGCACGAAACACAUCAAGAAGGAUGCUGGCAGUGAGAAACCAGAGACAUCUGCUGCACUCACAUAUGCCUCACUGACUGAAAUCAAGCAAAAGCUGACAGACCUCAUCAGCGCUGAUGGGUUUGUUUUGCUGGUACUGCUCAGCUGGUUGUUGGGGCAAGGGAUUUAGCUGCAAAGCAAGAAGAGUCCCCGCAGCAGCCUGCUUAUGAUGGUAUUAAUAUGCAUAUUAAUUGCCCUCACACUGCUUGAGUGACAGAGCUAUACAAAGCAGCACAGACUCACAAUGUUUAAAACACGCACUGAAAAUUUGCAGCUCAAAACCAUUAAGAAGCAAUAGCAUCUAUUUCAGAAGUCAUUUUAACUUUCUUAAGGUAUAGAACCAUUUCUUGUCCUACAACUUCUCCCACUGAGCUCUUUAUUUCUGUGAUUCCAGUACAGUAUAUCGCAAUUAUCGCCAAUCUUCUGCCAGUUACAGAAUCAUUAAGGUUGGAAAAGAUCACUAAGAUCACCUGGUCUAACUGUCAGUGAGCAGCCUUUCCAUAAUGAGGCAAAAAGGAGGAAGGAAAAUCUACAGAAAUUAAUUCAUCAAAUCAAAAAUGCCCACCUAACUGGAUUCUGAAUUCAUCUGUUAUUCUGUACAGCUUAAAUAAGUGCGAUGGUAAAACUGCAAGAGGGAAGAUGUGGAUACACAGCUCAUCAGGAUGACUGUGACCGACCAAUGGAAACACAUUGGCAGCACAUUUGUUGUCCUCCACACUACCACCUCCUUGACCAACCCCAGGAGCAGUUGCUAUCUCUUGUGGGCAAAUAAUCCGUGCUGUAGUUUUCAUAGGACAGAUUAAUGGUUAACACUGGACCAUAAGGUGAAGGAAAUGAAUUCUCCUUCAAGUCCUG
rnacentral:lncRNA from 1 species